rnacentral:rRNA from 1 species
GACGAACGCUGGCGGCGUGCUUAACACAUGCAAGUCGAACGGUGAAGCUCCAGCUUGCUGGAGUGGAUCAGUGGCGAACGGGUGAGUAACACGUGAGCAACCUGCCCCAGACUCUGGAAUAAGCGCUGGAAACGGCGUCUAAUACUGGAUACGAGAUCAAGCCGCAUGGUUAUGGUCUGGAAAGUUUUUCGGUUUGGGAUGGGCUCGCGGCCUAUCAGCUUGUUGGUGUGGUAAUGGCUCACCAAGGCGACGACGGGUAGCCGGCCUGAGAGGGCGACCGGCCACACUGGGACUGAGACACGGCCCAGACUCCUACGGGAGGCAGCAGUGGGGAAUAUUGCACAAUGGGCGAAAGCCUGAUGCAGCGACGCCGCGUGAGGGAUGACGGCCUUCGGGUUGUAAACCUCUUUCAGCAGGGAAGAAGCGAAAGUGACGGUACCUGCAGAAGAAGCACCGGCUAACUACGUG